AAUUGUGUCUAUCACCAUACCACCUGAUCUGGUCUGCUCUUAGAAGCUAAGCAGAGCUGGGCCUGGUUAGUACUUGGAUGGGAGAGAGUUUAGCUGAAUUGCAAGGUGAGAAAAAAGCAAUACAUUAA
ensembl:rRNA 5S_rRNA 5S ribosomal RNA